rnacentral:rRNA from 1 species
UACGUAGGGUGCAAGCGUUGUCCGGAAUUAUUGGGCGUAAAGAGCUCGUAGGCGGUCUGUCACGUCGGCUGUGAAAACUCGGGGCUCAACCCCGAGCCUGCAGUCGAUACGGGCAGACUAGAGUCCGGCAGGGGAGACUGGAAUUCCUGGUGUAGCGGUGAAAUGCGCAGAUAUCAGGAGGAACACCGGUGGCGAAGGCGGGUCUCUGGGCCGAUACUGACGCUGAGGAGCGAAAGCGUGGGGAGCGAACAGG